rnacentral:tRNA from 1 species
GGCGCUGUACCCCAACUUUGGCAGAGGGAGCCGGCUUAGACCCGGUCAACGUCUGGGUUCGAAUCCCAGCGGCGCCA